rnacentral:rRNA from 1 species
AUACGUAGGGGGCAAGCGUUAUCCGGAAUUAUUGGGCGUAAAGAGUACGUAGGUGGUUUCCUAAGCGAGGGGUUUAAGGCAAUGGCUUAACCAUUGUUCGCCCCCCGAACUGGGUUACUUGAGUGCUGGAGGGGCAAGCGGAAUUCCUAGUGUAGCGGUGAAAGGCGUAUAUAUUAGGAGGAACACCAGUGGCGAAGGCGGGUGUCUGGUCAGUAACUGACACUGAGGUACGAAAGUGUGGGGAGCAAACAGGAAUAGAUACCCUGGUAGUCCACACCGUAAACGAUGAGCACUAGGUGUUGGGGUCGCAAGAACUCGGUGCCGCAGUUAACGCAUUAAGUGCUCCGCCUGGGGAGUACGUACGCAAGGAUGAAACUCAAAGGAAUUGACGGGG